AGUUCGAUCCUGGCUCAGAUUGAACGCUGGCGGGAUGCUUUACAUGCAAGUCGAACGGCAGCACGGACUUCGGUCUGGUGGCGAAGUGGCGAACGGGUGAGUAAUGUAUCCGGAACGUGCCUAGUAGCGGGGGAUAACUACGCGGCGUAGCUGUACCACGCUACGCCCUCCGGGGAAAGCGGGGGACCUUCGGGCCUCGCACUAUUAGAGCGGCCGAUAUCAGAGUUAGCUAGUUGGUGGGGUAACGGCUCACCAAGGCGACGAUCCGUAGCUGGUUUGAGGAGGACGACCAGCCACACUGGGACUGAGACACGGCCCAGACUCCUGCAGGAGGCAGCAGUGGGGAAUUUUGGACAAUGGGGGAAACCCUGAUCCAGCCAUCCCGCGUGUGCGAUGAAGGCCUUCGGGUUGUAAAGCACUUUUGGCAGGAAAGAAACGGCACGGGAUAAUACCCCACGUGCAACUGACAGUACCUGCAGAAUGGCACCGGCUUUAACUACGUGCCAGCAGCCGCAGUAAUACGUAGGGUGCAAGCGUUAAAUGGAAUUACUGGGCGUAAAGCGUGCGCAGGCGGUUCGGAAAGAAAGAUGUGAAAUCCCAGAGCUUAACUUUGGAACUGCAUUUUUAACUACCGAGCUAGAGUGUGUCAGAGGGAGGUGGAAUUCCCGCGUGUAGCAGUGAAAUGCGUAGAUAUGCGGAGGAACACCGAUGGCGAGGCAGCCUCCUGGGAUAACACUGGCGCUCAUGCACGAAAGCGUGGGGAGCAAACAGGAUUAGAUACCCUGGUAGUCCACGCCCUAAACGAUGUCAACUAGCUGUUGGGGCCUUCGGGCCUUGGUAGCGCAGCUAACGCGUGAAGUUGACCGCCUGGGAGAGUACGGUCGCAAGAUUAAAACUCAAAGGAAUUGACAGGGACCCGCACAAGCGGUGGAUGAUGUGGAUUAAUUCGAUGCAACGCGAAAACCUUACCUACCCUUGACAUGUCUGGAAUCCCGAAGAGAUUUGGGAGUGCUCGCAAGAGAACCGGAACACAGGUGCUGCAUGGCUGUCGUCAGCUCGUGUCGUGAGAUGUUGGGUUAAGUCCGCAACGAAGCGCAACCCUUGUAAUUAGUUGCUACGAAAGGGCACUCUAAUGAGACUGCCGGUGACAAACCGGAGGAAGGUGGGGAUGACGUCAAGUCCUCAAAUGGCCCUUAUGGGUAGGGCUUCACACGUCAUACAAUGGUCGGGACAGAGGGUCGCCAACCCGCGAGGGGGAGCCAAUCCCAGAAACCCGAUCCGUAGUCCGGAUCGCAGUCUGCAACUCGACUGCGUGAAGUCGAAUCGCUAGUAAUCGCGGAUCAGCAUGUCGCGGUGAAUACGUUCCCGGGUCUUGUACACACCGCCCGUCACACCAUGGGAGUGGGUUUUACCAGAAGUAGUUAGCCUAACCACUGGAGGGCGGUCCUACGGUAAGUUCAUGACUGGGUGAAGUCGUAACAAGGUAG
rnacentral:rRNA from 1 species